rnacentral:rRNA from 1 species
UCCGUAGGGGGCAAGCGUUGUCCGGAUUUAUUGGGCGUAAAGAGCGUGUAGGCGGCCAGGUAGGUCUGCUGUGAAAACUCGAGGCUCAACCUCGAGAUGUCGGCGGAAACCAUCUGGCUAGAGUCCGGAAGAGGAGAAUGGAAUUCCCGGUGUAGCGGUGAAAUGCGCAGAUAUCGGGAAGAACACCCGUGGCGAAGGCGGUGCUCUGGGACGGUACUGACGCUGAGACGCGAAAGCGUGGGGAGCGAACAGG